rnacentral:rRNA from 1 species
AUACAGAGGGUGCAAGCGUUAAUCGGAUUUACUGGGCGUAAAGCGCGCGUAGGUGGCCAAUUUAAGUCAAAUGUGAAAUCCCCGAGCUUAACUUGGGAAUUGCAUUCGAUACUGGUUGGCUAGAGUAUGGGAGAGGAUGGUAGAAUUCCAGGUGUAGCGGUGAAAUGCGUAGAGAUCUGGAGGAAUACCGAUGGCGAAGGCAGCCAUCUGGCCUAAUACUGACACUGAGGUGACGAAAGCAUGGGGAGC